CCUACGGGUGGCAGCAGUGGGGAAUAUUGGACAAUGGGCGAAAGCCUGAUCCAGCCAUGCCGCGUGUGUGAAGAAUGCCUUCGGGUUGUAAAGCACUUUCAGUGGGGAAGAAAGCCUUGGGGCUAAUACCCUCGAGGAAGGACAUCACCCACAGAAGAAGCACCGGCUAACUCCGUGCCAGCAGCCGCGGUAAUACGGAGGGUGCGAGCGUUAAUCGGAAUUACUGGGCGUAAAGCGCGCGUAGGCGGUCUGAUAAGCCGGUUGUGAAAGCCCCGGGCUCAACCUGGGAACGGCAUCCGGAACUGUCAGGCUAGAGUGCAGGAGAGGAAGGUAGAAUUCCCGGUGUAGCGGUGAAAUGCGUAGAGAUCGGGAGGAAUACCAGUGGCGAAGGCGGCCUUCUGGACUGACACUGACGCUGAGGUGCGAAAGCGUGGGUAGCAAACAGGAUUAGAUACCCUGGUAGUC
rnacentral:rRNA from 1 species